AUUCAACUGACGAGUCCCAAAAAGGACGAAACACGCGUCCUGGAU
rnacentral:hammerhead_ribozyme from 1 species